UUUGCUGUAAUCUCACACCAAGAUUUUGUUGAUGCAUACCAUCAACAGUCCAAUUAACUCCACACCUAGAGCAAUGAACCAGGUCGAAUGCUUGGCUUGGGUAAGGCAACCGGUGCCUUCCAAAUGUAGCUAUCAUGGCAGUAGGUAGGCCCCAAAACUCGCAAGUCCAGAGCUGAUAUCCAAAGCAACUCGUGUAUGACGGCCAAAUGCAAUCUCAGGAACCAUCUGUAUCACAUGCUUCAGAGAUCAAUCUAAUGCAAACAGAACUUAAACCUACAGAGAAAUGAGGACAGAAGCAAACCUUGGAUAUCUGAUCCAAGUAUUUGUUCGUGCCACGGAUAAAUUGAGGCCCAUCUCCUGGAAAUACAAGCUUGUCAUCUUUUCUCAACACUGGAUCUUUGUUCACCCUAUCCACAAGCGUAUGAGCCCUUCAUCGAAUUCCCCAACUAGGAAAUCCUCCGUCAUCGUUCCCAGCUCAUUUAUGAUCCCUGUUCUCUCCAGCACCGGCCUCUGCGUCACAGGAGGAGAUGGCGCUAAAGGGGUGGUUUCAG